rnacentral:rRNA from 1 species
UACGUAGGGGGCUAGCGUUGUCCGGAAUCAUUGGGCGUAAAGCGCGCGUAGGCGGCCAGAUAAGUCCGGUGUGAAAGCCACAGGCUCAACCUGUGAAUGCCGCUGGAAACUGUCUGGCUAGAGUCCGGGAGGGGCGAGUGGAAUUCCCGGUGUAGCGGUGAAAUGCGCAGAUAUCGGGAAGAACACCCGUGGCUAAGGCGGCUCUCUAGUACGGUACUGACGCUGAGACGCGAAAGCGUGGGGAGCGAACAGG